rnacentral:rRNA from 1 species
CUUGCAGGGUACUCGAGUGGCGAACGGGUGAGUAACACGUGGGUGAUCUGCCCUGCACUUCGGGAUAAGCUUGGGAAACUGGGUCUAAUACCGGAUAGGAACCAUCUUUAGUGUGGUGGUUGGAAAGUUUUUUCGGUGUAGGAUGAGCUCGCGGCCUAUCGGCUUGUUGGUGGGGUAAUGGCCUACCAAGGCGGCGACGGGUAGCCGGCCUGAGAGGGUGUACGGCCACAUUGGGACUGAGAUACGGCCCAG